UUAUAUUGGCGCACAGGAUCUAGUGCUGCUUUGUCUAUUGAUUAGGGACCGUUAGGUCAUAUUCUAGAUUAAAUAGCCUUUAUGUCCUACAGAACGUUGUUUAGGGUCAAUAUGGUCAUGAGGGUUCCAGAAACCCGAAGUUCCCCAACCCUAAUUUCCUCACUUUUUAGUCUCUCUCCCCUCAACCCUAAUUUCCUCAUUCUUAAGUUUCAAAUUUCAAUGUGUCUAACCAUAUAGUCGCCCCAGCCUCUUCUAUGCAUAUAUAACCAUACGCAUGGUGUUCAUUUGGGAUUUGCACCACGGGCGAAUUUCCACAGAAAGCAUAGUUUUCAACUGGGUCACAGACAGAAAGCAUAGUUUUCAACUGGGUCACAGAUGGCGCAAGGUACACCAUGGCAUUGUUUGGCUAGAAAUAACAUUGGGUUCCAAGACCUUGUUCACAAGGAGACCUACUUCGAGUUGCCCCUGCAUUCCUAUUACAUCAAUGGAUUUUAUCUGAUGCCAUGGCGCAUUUUCAAGCUCGAUCAAUCCCCAAGUGUUUGCUGUUUUAAUUCUUGCAUUAUCACAUUGCAUUCGGUGAAGUAAAUUCUUUGAAAAUGGUGCUUUGAUUUUUAAAAAAUUUCCAAGUUUAUUAGCGAAUUAUUUGGACUUUGAGGUAUGAAUGACUUGUGAUUCAGUCUUUUUUUUUUGGAAAAUUCAGUGUUCUAUGAACAUGGUGCAUUGAUUUUUACGAGAUUUCCAAGUUUAAUAGCAAAUUUUUUGAAGUUUGAAGUAUGAGUGACUUGUGGUUGUUUCGUAUUAUUAUGAAAAAUUCAGUGAGGCCGGUGACGACAAUAUGCGUGUUGGAGGGCAAGGGUUUCAAGUCCUUGAAUACAAGGAGAACCUAGUCGGAGUUGCCUUUGCAUUACUGUGACAUUACCGCUGGAUCGUAACUGAGGUUAGAAUAUAAACCAAGCAGGGCUAGGGUUUUUCCCAUCUAUAAAAGUGGAAACGGGCUGAAGCUUGUCGCUAUCCUUUUUUCUCUCAUUUUAUUCUUGGGUUUCUUAUCUAUGGCUGCAGUUUCUAAGUUUCUCAUAUGUCGCUGCAGUUUUUGUUCGUCUCUGCCUUCAUGUUUUCUAUCGUUUCUGAAAGCCCUGGCCUUCAUACACGGAUUUCGGCCAUUACGAUUUCUCGUACUUCCGAUUUUCAGCGUUUUCUAUGUAAAAUGAGUAGGUAAUAAGAUUUUUUAAUGCAAUGUGUUCAGGCUUACCUCUCACAGGGAGCCUGGUUAGCACCAAAAACCCCUCGGAUUUUACAUCCCAUGGAUUUCAAAGGCCUUAAUGUUCCUCAAAAUCUAAGGUUUUGUAACCCAAGAUUUUUCUCUGCUACUUCUGUCAUCGCACGAUGCAAACCCCGGGCUUCUCUUGUAUGUUUUCAUGAAGAUGAAAGGCCCAAUGCCCGUGCAAUAUGAAUCAGCUGUUGAGUGUUGCAGAUUGGCCGAUCUCUCGGUCUAUAGCUGUGUCAAAGCAACAACAACAUCUUUGUUUAGCUAUUAAAAUUUUGAAGCCUUGUGACCGUUGUAUUUCGUCACCUCAGUGGGCAGUUAAUCAUGUAAAAUGUAAAUAAUAUUGAUGCCUCACCUUAAGCUUGUGGAGAUUUUUGGUGCCACAAAUGCGCAGUCAUGGAGGCAGAAACCAACCAUGGGGUUUCAAGGCCUUGUUCACAAGGAGACCUACUUGGAGUUGCCCCUGCCAUCCUAUGACAUCUGUGGAUUUUAUCUGAUGCCAUGGCGCAUUUUCAUACUCGAUCAGUCACCAAGUGUUUGCUUGAGGCUGGUGACGAUAAUAUGCGUGUUGGAGGGCAAGGGUUCCAAUUCCUUGAAUGCAAGGAGAACCUACUUGGAGUUGCUCUUAUACUGUGACAUUACCGCUGGAUCGUAACUGAGGUUAGAAUAUGAACCAAGCAAGGGUAGGGUUUUUCCCAUCUAUAAAAGUGGAAACGGGCUGAAGCUUGUCGCUAUCUUUUUUCUUUCCUUCUAUUGCUGCAGUUUUUAAGUUUCUCAUAUGUCGCUGCAGUUGGAUGUGCUAGAAGAGGCGAUGCUGUUUUGAUUUUGUUCCAUCUUGGAGAUGCAAGGGUUCCAAGUCCUUGUACACGAGGAGAACCUACUUGGAGUUGCCCCUGCAUUCCUAUGACAUCAAUGGCUUUUAUCUGAUGCCAUAACGCAUUUUCAUGCUCAAUCAAGCACCAAGUACUCUUUGAAGUUGGCAAAUUCUGCUGCAUUGAAUGAAGCAUUGAUGUUGGAGAAGCUCUAUUGCGGAGCAAGUCUUGAUGGGCCAGCAUGGAGAUAGGUGGGCCAAAGCCUUGGUUGGAAGAGAAAGAAGUUGUAGAAAUCAUUAUAACCACCUGGCAGAACACAAUUUCUAUUGGUUCUUUGGAUUUUCUAUUGCAUAAAAAGUUGCUCAUUAUUAAAUAUAAGCUCAUCGUCUGGAAAAAAGAGAAUAAUUUUAAUGUUCAGUCCAAAAUCGAUGAGGUCUUAUAUGAAAUUGAAGCUUUGGACCAGCAUGUUCAGUCUAUAGGUGUGUUAACCGAGGACUUGAUGGGUUAAAGGAGUUCGAAGUUGAAAUCUCUUCAUGAACUUGUAGAGCUGAGGAGUUAUAUUGGAAGAAAAGAUCAAGGAUAAAAUGGUUAAAGGAGGGUAAUUUGAAUUUUAAGUUCUUUCAUUCUAUUGUGGAUGCGAGAAGAAGGAAAAAUGAUAUUUUUGGUUUGACUAUUCAUGGUAAUGAGGCAGAUGAUAGUGUGGCAAUGGAAGGGUUAUUGACCAUUUUAAGAAGACUUUUUCGACAGAGGUGAAGUUCACUCCAAACUGAAAAGGGUACCUUUUAAAGUUUUGACAGUAGACAAGAGUUCUAAUUUGGAGUGUAACAUCUUUAUGGAAAACUAGAGGGGGUCGUUUUUGC